UACGUAGGGGGCAAGCGUUGUCCGGAUUUAUUGGGCGUAAAGAGCGUGUAGGCGGCUGGGUAGGUCCGUUGUGAAAACUCGAGGCUCAACCUCGAGACGCCGGUGGAAACCAUCAGACUAGAGUCCGGAAGAGGAGAGCGGAAUUCCUGGUGUAGCGGUGAAAUGCGCAGAUAUCAGGAAGAACACCCGUGGCUAAGGCGGCUCUCUAGUACGGUACUGACGCUGAGACGCGAAAGCGUGGGGAGCGAACAGG
rnacentral:rRNA from 1 species